UGAAAGGGGAAUGACAUCACCAAUGGCAGUUGCCAGAGGAAGUUCCCAUGGUCGAGCUUGUGACAAAAAACAAAGCACUGCCGGGAGAUAGCCUGGAUUAUCAUAGAUUUUUCCCUUUCGAAUAAAAGCAAGAGCAUGUCUUAGAAUAAAUUUUCCUUCAGGUAUUUUUGGUCGCUAACCAUUCAGGUGAAGAUUAAAAAGAAUGAUGGAUAGGUGACGCCUAAGAACAUGGGAGCUACACCAACUACAACACCUUGAUAAGCCUUGGUGAGGGGACGAUUAUGAAAGCAAGCUUGAACUCCACACACUUGUGUUGUGUUGCUUAGAAAUCCAAACUCCAAGUGUGGGGGACGUAUGUGAGUUAUCUUGAGUAAAGUUUCUAUUGUACCAAAUCUUAUCUUAGUUUGGAGAUGGUGUUGGUUCUUACAUCUUGCCCCACUAAAAAAGAGACAAAAUAAAAUAAAAAUAAAAGGAAGAGUUACCACGGUGGCGAUUUAGAAAUCUUCAUCACCCAAAACGCCAUGGUAAGUACCUUCAGGUAUGUCCUACUUUUGACUUUAAACAAAGCCUUUCCGGGAGGUUGCUUGAGGUUCACCAUCAUAUACUCAUGUUUAUCCCCCUUUGAAUAUAGCUUGAUCAUGCUUUCAUGCUUCCUUUAUCUAUUCUCGUAUGCUCUGGGUUGUAUAUAUGUCUCGAGAAAUACAUUCAUAGGCCUUUUAAAUUAAGCAUGAUGCUUAGGUUAAAAAGUCUUCAUCAGUCAAACUAGACAUGGUGUCGAGUUUGGUUGAUGAACCUUAGAGUUAAUACUUUCAUAAAUCUUGGUUGUAUAUGUGGACUAACCCUUGCAGGAAUCUUCAAAUUCGAACGGGUAAGUCGUUAAGCUUGAUUCAAAUGGGAAGGUAAACUAAGGCAUUGGAUUCAAGUUACGCAACAUACAAAGGAGGUACAUAUCACCCUUCAAG
rnacentral:lncRNA from 1 species